CACCUGAAUAACUAUCGAGCUUAAAAACCUCACUGAGUGUAAAGAAAUAAGAAGUCUAGUUUUGUUCCAGAUGUGCCUCCUCAUUAAAAUGAACCUCUGCUUGGGGGGAAUAAGCAGCCAAAAAGCAUCCUUCACACAAGUAAAACAAUUGGCUGUGGUAUAAUAAAGGAAAACACUACCACAGAAAACUGAAACAGACCUCUCUAGCGUUGCUAACAGGGAGAGCUGGUUUUUUUAAAAUACCCAGAAAAACAGUCAAGUUACCCAGUUCUCAUUCUGGGGCGAGGGAGUCUGUCACACCUUCCAUAUCUGCCUCAAGGCAAUGUACAAAAUAUAAUAAAAACUGCUUUAAAAAACGGGUUAAAAAACAACAACAAACAGAGCACAACUUAAAAAAAUAAAUAAAUCACCAAGUAGACACCCAUGGUAAAAACUCAUUCACCCACCAGUUGGAAAGGCUUGCCAGAACAAAAAUAUAUUUACGUGUUUCUGGAAAUUAAAGACAGUGGGCGCCAGUUUGGAAAGGGGUGAUAAAAAAUGGAUCCAGCAAAUAAACAAGAUGGCGGCAUUCUGUUCAGCAGCUUUUGAAAGAAAUCACCAUUGGCUUGAAAAAUUCUCACAGAUUAACAACGUGGAUCUAGGCAGGCAGGUGUAAAUUGCAGUGACCUCACCAUGUCUCAGUAAGCACACUGGCAGGCCAACAGAGGCAGCCCAAGGAUGGCAUAUACUCUGGAAACUCAUCUGACGUAAGGCUUCCUCUUUUGCGCAAGAAGAAAGUUAACAAUGCAGAGUGUCACAACACCUAAUUC